rnacentral:rRNA from 1 species
AGCGAACGCUGGCGGCAGGCUUAACACAUGCAAGUCGAGCGGGCAUCCUUGUGGUGUCAGCGGCAGACGGGUGAGUAACGCGUGGGAACGUGCCCUUCGGUUCGGAAUAACUCAGGGAAACUUGAGCUAAUACCGGAUACGUGCGAGAGCAGAAAGGUUUAUCUGCCGAAGGAUCGGCCCGCGUCUGAUUAGCUAGUUGGUGAGGUUAUGGCUCACCAAGGCGACGAUCAGUAGCUGGUCUGAGAGGAUGAUCAGCCACACUGGGACUGAGACACGGCCCAGACUCCUACGGGAGGCAGCAGUGGGGAAUAUUGGACAAUGGGGGCAACCCUGAUCCAGCCAUGCCGCGUGAGUGAUGACGGCCUUAGGGUUGUAAAGCUCUUUUCUUCGGGACGAUAAUGACGGUACCGGAGGAAUAAGCCCCGGCGAACUGCGU